ensembl:lncRNA
GAAGUAUUGUGGCCUUAAUAACAGCAGCAGACAUACCGGAAAUUUGUACUAUAAGUGAGCAUACUAAAUAAAUAUAUCUGAAGACAUCUGAAAUUUAUCAAUAUUGUCUUCUUCUUGCUAGUGUUUGGCCCUCCGUUCCUCCUUGAUCUUCAGUGAAUGCUAACAGCGGGAGUGUGAAGAAGCCAGAAUUUAGUGUUGAAGGGCCAGAUACUGUCCUGGACAAUUUACUUACUGUAGUCCAUCUAGUUCCAUGGUUACCUCCAGAGUCAGGGGCCACAGACCUUUGUAGCUGCUUCUGGAAGACACUGAGUGGACCCUUUGGGAAGCCACUCUCUGGAGGUGGUGCUGAGAAUGUAAAUGAAGCUUUCCAGCUCCUGGGAGGUUAUGGGCUUGUUCAUGGAGGCAAGAGAAGCCAGAGACUGGAGCAGCUGGAAAUUUCGUAAGUGAUGGACUGGGGCAAGAGACAAGCUAGGUGGAAGGUGCAGCUGUGAUGAGAGAUGCCCCAGGAGGAAGAGUUGCCAGAAGACACUGCCGGCAACCCUUGUGAGUGGGAGCAGCUGGAAACCAGCAUUGGGAGCAGCAGGGAAUAGCAUGAAGAGGGGUCUCUGGCUUGGCCUGGCCCCAGCCUGAUUUUCUCUGUGGGGAGAGAAGGGCUGUGUUAAUUAUCUGCUCAGUAUCAAGAGGGCACCUGGAAAGAAGUAUUUUGUUGUAAAUAAUAAUAACUAUUUUCAUUAUUAUUCCAUUGACUGAAGAGAGGAAAAGACAAAUCCAAAGGCUAGAAAGUCUGUCUGUGAAAGUGCACCUGAAAAAGGUGGUAGAUAUAAUUCCCGUCCAGUUAAGGAACAAAUUAGCCUGUAAGAACAGCUCCUUCAGCCCAGGGAGUUUUGCAGGUGGUCAUGAAAGUGAACUUGGGGCUUAGGUCAUCCAUGGAAGGCCUGCUGAAAGGAUGAUUUUUAUGUACUUUUCUUUGGACUCACUGUCUGGAAAAGGGCAUAGUGGUAUAGCAGGACAAGACGCAGACAAAACCCCUCAGACACCAAGUUGAAGGAAGGGCUUUAUUCGGCCGGGAGCUUCGGCAAGACUCACGUCUCCAGCAACCGAGCUCCCCAAGUGAGCAAUUCCUGUCCCUCUUAAGGGCUCACAACUCUAAGGCGGUGCACGUGAGAGGGUCGUGAUCGAUUGAGCAAGCCGGGGGUACAUGACUGGGGGCUGCAUGCAGCGGUAAUCAGAACACAACAGAACAGGACAGGGAUUUUCACAGUGCUUUUCCAUACAAUGUCUGUAAUCUACAGAUAACAUAACCAAUUAGGUCAGGGGUCUUUAACUACCAGGCCCAGGGUGUGGCCCCGGGCUGUCUGCCUGUGGAUUUCAUUUCUGCCUUUUAGUUUUUACUUCUUCUUUCUUUGGAGGCAGAAAUUGGGCAGAAGACAAUAGGAGGGGUGGUCUCCUCCUUAGUGGAAUGUACCGGAUGGAAGUUAUUGUAGAAGUCCCAGUGGCCUGGGUCAAGACCUGGACUUGAGGGAAAUACUUGCAGGUUUUCUGCCCCCUUUAAGAGGUUACAUUUCCAAUUGGCAUUAAGAGCUGCAUACAAACUUAGAAACCAACCUUCAGGAAUGGGAGAUUAAUUUUCUCUUCUUGCCUUCCCUAGCACAAUAAUGCGUUUUGCAAAUACCUGGUGGGUUAAUUGACUGGAACCCUCUAAACUGCGUUUCCUAUGGCUCAGCUCUGGGCUACAGGUCUUCCUGGCAGAUUAUUAAGCAGGUGAGGUGGAAAUGUACGGAAGUAGAGGUCAAACGUUCUGAGUUCUUUUCUCAGCUCUUCUAAGAAUAAACUGAUGUAAAUGAUGUCUACAACCGACCAGUUUUCCAGAUGGC